rnacentral:rRNA from 1 species
UACAGAGGGUGCGAGCGUUAAUCGGAAUUACUGGGCGUAAAGCGUGCGUAGACGGUUAUUUAAGUCGGGUGUGAAAGCCCCGGGCUCAACCUGGGAAUUGCAUUCGAGACUGAAUAGCUAGGGUACGGUAGAGGGAAGUGGAAUUUCCGGUGUAGCGGUGAAAUGCGUAGAUAUCGGAAGGAACAUCAGUGGCGAAAGCGACUUCCUGGACCAGUACCGACGUCAGGCACGAAAGCGUGGGGAGCAAACAGG